rnacentral:misc_RNA from 1 species
AACAUCGCGCACCUGCGGGAACCUGCGGAAGGAUCAUUACAGAGUUGCAAAACUCCCUAAACCAUUGUGAACGUUACCUAAACCGUUGCUUCGGCGGGCGGCCCGGGUCCUUCCCGGCGCCCAUCGGCCCUCGCGGGCGCCCGCCGGAGGUAAACCAAACUAUUGCAUUGUAUGGCCUCUCUGAGUCUUCUGUACUGAAUAAGUCAAAACUUUUAACAACGGAUCUCAGAUCGGAAGAGC